CUGCUGUUUAACUUAUUAGGCACAACCAUUCCAACUGUUAAAAUAAAAUUGUUAAGAUCAUAAUGUCAGGGAAAUAGAAACCUUGGCAGUAUGAUAGUGCCUUGUGAGCAGAGCAUCAGUUUGUUGGGGAUGAAUCGGAAUUGCGCAUUUCAUUAGAAUUUAUAUCACAAGCCAAGGGAUGAAGCAUUAUUUCAUUAAGUAUCUUGAAAUUUCACCAACCUAAUGAAGCUGUCAAAAUUCUAUUAAUAAAGCGCUGGCAAUAUUUAUUUGUUUGUUUGUAAGGAUGCAUGUGCUAUUAUUUACCGUUGCAUUUGUUAAUUUAGGAGCAGAGCUCAGCGGCGCGGCUGAGGAGCGCGGGGGCUGCGGGGGGCUGGCAGCGAGGGGCUCCCGGGGACCAGGAGCUGCUGUGUCCUGGGGCAGGACGGGGCCACCAGCCCUGCUCCCCGGGGAGGGAGUGGGACACUCUGCACAGGAGCAGGUAAAAUACAUGUCACAUGCUUGUAAAUGCUCCCACACCCUGGCAUUUGCUCCUGAAAUUCAGCUGCAUCCUGAGCCCUCCACAGCUCCUGGCUCUUCACCAAGCACCCUGAGCAGGAGGAGCAAAGCCCCACCUGCAUCCCAGCUCACACCAUCAGCUCCACAGUCGGAGGCAUCGGCUCUCCUGGAAUUUCCCCAGGACAUGGCAUUACUGGCAUCACCCAAACAGAGCCCAUCCCAAUGACCCAGCCGCUGCCAUUUCUGACAAGGCUUGGAUGCAAUUGAAAGUCUCACUAAUGGUUGUGCAGGGAAAAGCUUUGUACCUGAAUCUGGAGGUUUUUGGAGCUCCUGUUGUCCAGAGUUGGGUUUCAGUGCAUUCAGUCCGUUGCAGGGAUCCCCAGUCUGUGCUGCACCUCGCACCGGUGCAGAUCCUUUUGGGCACUCAGGGCACACACGAUCCCGGCCAAGGAGAGGGCGAAGGCGACCACAGCUGGAAAAGGAAGGAGCAGCUCAGUGCUGGCAAGAACAAAUACAAUGCAACACUUCCUUUCUGUAUAACCGUUGGCAAACAUUUCUGAUGAGCUUUAAUGCCUCAGAGCGAAGCAAACAGACGGCGCCGGGGUCAGGAAGAGUGAAGUGGGGAUUUAUUUUUUUUCUACCGGUCUCACAAAUAUCUUUGCAGAUAGAGGUGAUUAUAAAUAGUCCUUCAGCCGUUUCCUGACUGCGGUUUGCCGACUCUUCCUUAUUUAUGGAAGUGAUGAGGAGUGUUCUGCAUUUUGCCCCAGCAUGGGGCUCAACCUCAGUAUUUUGGGCACAGAUUCCAAACUUCAGAGUGGGCACUGGAACAGGGAUAACCUUUGGCCCAGAUGAGUGAAUGCUGUGAUAGGAUGAAGGGGAUCAUGAGCUCUAGAUUUACUUAGGCAGACUGCUAUCAAUAAUUUCCUCCUCCAGACUACUGAGCACAUAUCCCACAAAGAGGCUCCUCGCUGGAAUCACCACAAGUGCCUUACAGAGAAUCCUCCUCACCUCGCUGAGCUUCGCCUCCACUGUGUUGUAUCUUCAUCCUCAGGUGAGAUUUCGUAGAAUCACAGAAUCUCCUGAGCUGGAAGGGAUCAAGGAUCAUCAAACCAGCCCCUGUCCCUGCCCAGACCCCCCAGCAAUGCCCCCUGUCCAUCCCUGGAGCUCUGGCAGCCUCGGGGCCGUGCCCAUUCCCUGGGGAGCCUGGGCAGUGCCAGCACCUCUGGGGGAAGAAUCUGUCCCUGAUCUCCAACCUAAACCUCCCCAGUUUUCCAAAAUGGAGUUAGCUGUGAACUGCAUCGCCCUUCCAGGGGCUAAAUGACAUCUCCCCUGACUCCUUUGCCCAACAGCCUGUGCCUGCUGCCAGUAUCCCUGACCCCACAGCUCGGACAGAAG
rnacentral:lncRNA from 12 species